AGGAUGAACGCUGGCGGCGUGCUUAACACAUGCAAGUCGAACGAUGAAGGCUGGAGCUUGCUCUGGCUGGAUUAGUGGCGAACGGGUGAGUAACACGUGAGUAACCUGCCCCAGACUCUGGGAUAAGCGCUGGAAACGGCGUCUAAUACCGGAUACGAGCUUCCACCGCAUGGUGAGGAGCUGGAAAGAAUUUCGGUCUGGGAUGGACUCGCGGCCUAUCAGCUUGUUGGUGAGGUAAGGCUCACCGAAGGCGACGAUCAGUAGCUGGUCUGAGAGGAUGACCAGCCACAUUGGGACUGAGACACGGACCCAAACGUCCGUACGGGAGGCAGCGAGGUAGGGGAAUCGUUGCGUACAAGUGGACGAAAGCCGUGACGC
rnacentral:rRNA from 1 species